AGCCCUGUAGUGAAGUUCAUGUUGAGUUGCAAACUCAUUGAUGUGUACUAAAAGUGCACCAGGGCUU
rnacentral:tRNA from 1 species